UACGUAGGGACCGAGCGUUGUCCGGAUUCAUUGGGCGUAAAGAGCUCGUAGGCGGCUGUUCAAGUCGAACGUGAAAACUCGGAGCUCAACUCCGAGCCUGCGUUCGAUACUGGACGGCUAGAGUCUGGUAGGGGGAUCUGGAAUUCCUGGUGUAGCGGUGGAAUGCGCAGAUAUCAGGAGGAACACCGGUGGCGAAGGCAGGUCUCUGGGCUGAUACUGACGCUCAUGCACGAAAGCGUGGGGAGCAAACAGG
rnacentral:rRNA from 1 species